rnacentral:rRNA from 1 species
AUUGAACGCUGGCGGCAUGCCUUACACAUGCAAGUCGAACGGUAACGGGCCUUCGGGUGCCGACGAGUGGCGCACGGGUGCGUAAUACAUCGGAACGUGCCCGAUCGUGGGGGAUAACGAGGCGAAAGCUUUGCUAAUACCGCAUACGAUCUAUGGAUGAAAGCAGGGGACCGCAAGGCCUUGCGCGGACGGAGCGGCCGAUGGCAGAUUAGGUAGUUGGUGGGAUAAAAGCUUACCAAGCCGACGAUCUGUAGCUGGUCUGAGAGGAUGAUCAGCCACACUGGGACUGAGACACGGCCCAGACUCCUACGGGAGGCAGCAGUGGGGAAUUUUGGACAAUGGGCGCAAGCCUGAUCCAGCCAUGCCGCGUGCAGGAUGAAGGCCUUCGGGUUGUAAACUGCUUUUGUACGGAACGAAAAGCCUUCUUUUAAUACAGGAGGGUCAUGACGGUACCGUAAGAAUAAGCACCGGCUAACUACGUG